UCCCCAUUUUAGUUGAGUCCCCCUACCCCUUCACUCGAGUCUCCACUCGACGCAGACUGCGGCCAGACUCCCGAACCCUAGCCUCGCCGGAAUGAGCAGCCCCUCCGCCGCCGCAUCGUCGCCGGCGCCCGCGCUGGACGGCGGCGUCAUCCUCGAAGAGAUCCUCGAGGAGAUCCUCCUCCGCCUCCCUCCGCAGCCGUCCUCCCUUCCGCGCGCAUCCCUCGUGUGCACGCGCUGGCGCCGCAUCCUCUCCGACCCCGGCUUCCUCAGCCGCUUCCGCGAGCACCACGGCCGGAACAAGCCACCGCCGCUACUUGGCUUCUUCGACGAGGAAUUCCGCAGAGACAAGCGGCCCAUCUUCAAGCUCACGACGAUGGGCCGGUGGGACCGCAUCCCACCCGCGCGCUUCUCGGCGCCAUGGAUUCGCGGCGAGGGCUGGGCGUUUUUCGGCUGCCGACAUGGCCUGGCCCUCCUCAUCUGCCAGAAGCGCCGCGAGGCCGUCGUGUGGGACCCCCUCACCGGCCACCAGCGCCGCCUUGCGUUUCCACCAGGGUUCUGCAGGAAAAAGGGGAGGUUCGUCCAGAACGCGGCGGUGAUGUGCGCCGCCGCCGUCGAAGACGGGCAUGUGCACGGUGACUGCCGCUUCACCCCAUUUAGAUUGGCCUUGGUAGGCAGUGAUUCUGACGGCACACACAAGUUUGCUUGCCUCUAUGAGUCGGAGUCCGGUGUGUGGGGGGAUGUUGUCUCACUAGAGACCACACGUUCGACAUGUGUAUGUGUUGCAAAACCCAGCGUCCUGGUUAGAAAUUCAUUUUGCUGGCUGGUUUCUGGAGGUGGCAUCCUCGAGUUUGAUUUUGAAAUCCAGAGCCUUGUGGUGAUCCAGAAGCCAGCAGACGUUAAUGUAGCAGCCUACCACUGGUCCUUUCUCGUUGUACGGACACAGCACAGCGGUCUGGGCCUUGCUGUUUUUUCCGAGCCAGAUUAUCAGAGCGGUACCAUCCAAUUAUGGGAGAGAAAAUCUAACCGUGAUGGUGUUGUUGGAUGGGAACUGCAGAAAACCAUUCAGCUAGAUGGGCUCUUUUCAUUUGGACUGACCGGGGAGCCAAAUGCGUUUAUGAUGCAGGGGUAUGAUGAGGACAGCAAUGCGAUUUUGCUAUCAACGUUUUACGGUGAAUACAUGCUCCAGCUUGAGUCCAUGCAGUUUAUAAAUCUUAUUGAACACCAGAGCGCUUGCAUUUUUACAAGGACCUAUUAUCCGUACAGAAAUUUCUAUGUUAUAGGUAAACGAUGAUUGUCUACCUUGCACGCCUAGCAGUAGAUAUGGUUUCAUUUCCCCCAUUCCUACCUUUGUCGUCAUAAAGGGUAGUUUUGCCUUCUCAUCGGUUUACCUCUUCCAUGAAUGUUCUUUGGUUUAUUGGGUUUCUUUUGCUUGUAGGCAGCGGUGUUGGUGGUCGAGAUGGUGGAGCUGAAAUGUCAGUGCAUUAGAUGAUUGUCCCAUUAGGCUUGCACGUUGGAGAUUUCAGAUGCAAUGCAAGCUGAUUUCUGGAGGCAUCUUAUUGUUUUUUUUUUGACUUGGUGGCGGGCCACAUGUUUGAAUUAGUGACAUCUCGGUGAUGGUUAUUACAAACCUCGCAAUUUCAUUGUAUCUAAGCUGCAUUAGUACUGUACUAUUAUUGUAUAUUCUGUUCUUUGCUUUGUAGUGUCGAGAACGUAGACUGAAAUAUGCUUAGAUGCCCAUGGGUUAGUUAUUUAACUAGUAGGAACUCGAUGACUACAUGUCAGAUGGCUUCAAUUGUUAUGUCAUGUCCUAGCAAGUGUGUACUGUUUCAGUUGAGUAAUGAGUGGGACUGCCUAUCUCUUUCA